CCUCAGCGGCGGUGGCGGGAGCCCUCUGCCGGCCGGGAGGUAGUAGGACAGCCACCAACCAUCGCCCCCCACCCCUCUUCAAGGUCAGAAAGUCAGAGAAGAAACUCGCCCCACCAGCUCACCUGGUCGGACAGGUUUGGAAGGCGAGUGGUCAUCUGUGGACAAGGUUAUGGUACUGGAUAUGAAGCUAACCAAAAAGAGUUUCUGAGACUCAUUCUUGCCCUCAGCCUCCUGAGAAAAUCUUGUCCCCAGUCCUUAGCUGAUGUUUACAAUGCUACCAUUUAUUUGUUUAUCUUCUUGGUUUAACACGUGCCUGUGAGUUAACACUGCAGUCAGUGACACACACUUCAGUGUGAGUUGAUUUGUUAUGCAUGUCCCUUCUGACUCAUUACUUUAUGAGAGAAGCUUCCUAAGUAGUAAUUUGUCACAUAAUUAUUAAGGGUGAUUUAGGAUACAAAAGACCAAAGCAAUGCUGUAAGGAAAAGAAGUGUUGUUGGAAGAGCACUUUGGUUUCCAAAACGUGUCUUCUUCUCAAGUUCUGUUUUCCCAGCAAGACUGAACUGAUUAAGAACGAAAUCCCAGGAUGCCUUGAGGCCAUCUUCUGAAAAGAUAGACCCUGCACGCCGCCAGCCACCUUCCCAUCCAUUGACUCUAGAGUCAGGCUCCUUCCUCGCAGUCCUGGAGAGUGGGGAGUUGGCCAGAGAGCUGGUUUGGAUGCUAAGUAUUAGGCAAGUUCAUCCCUACCCAGGCCAUUCAUUGCAGGUGGGUUAAAAACACAUUACCCCUCCCUGACUCCCAGCCUCGGACCCUGGACAAAGGUCACUGGUGGGGAAGGGAAAGGAGAUCAGGGACCCUGAUGCAGGUGAAGCUGGGAGUUUGGUCAAUGUUUGAGACGGGGAGCAUUUCUCAGAGGAACAGUGUGGCCCAGGAGUAGGAAGUCAGGCUCCAAACCUGGCCAGACAAAGCUUCCACUAGGAACACACUUCAUCGGGGCAAUCAGCCUGGAUCUGAUGUUUCUCUGCCUCUGCCCUCCCACUCAGCCACACAGAGAAGUCAUAAACACUCAAAUGCAAGGAUUAACUCUGCAUGUGGUGUCUGGGACAUUGUGAACAACUCUUGGUGGCAGUGUUGGUGUCUGUAUCAGAUUGAUCUUUGUAACCCCCAGCAUCUAGGACGUCAGGCUUGGUACACAGCCAGCGUUCAAGAAAUGUGAUGGGGGCCGGCCCAGUGGCUCAGGACGUUGGAGCUCCGUGCUCCUAACUCCGAAGGCUGCCUGUUCGAGUCCCACAUGGGCCAGUGGGCUCUCAACCACAAGGUU